CCUCUCUUAUGAGGACAGGCUGGGAGAGCUGGGGCUGUUCAGCCUGGAGAAGAGAAGGCUGCGAUGUAACCCAAUAGGGGCAUUUCAGUAUCUAAAGGGGAGCUACAGGAAAGAAGGGGUCAGACUCUUUAGGAGGCUCUGUUGUGACAGAACAGGGGGAAGUGGUUUUAAGCUCAAAGAAGGUAGAUUUAGGUUAGAUAUAGGGAAAAAGUCUUCUGCAGUGAGGGUGGUGAGGCACUGGAGCAGGUUGCCCUGAGAUGUGGUUGAUGCCCUAUCCCUGAAGAUUUUCAAGGCGAGGCUGGAUCAGGCCUUGGGAAACUUGAUUUAGCUGUGGUGUCCCUGUUCAUUGCAGGGGAGUUGGAGUAGGUGGCCCUCAGCGGUCCCUUCCAACUCUAAGCAUUCUAUGAUUCUGUUUCACAAAUUCCCCGGACAGCUUCUCAAAAUACUAAGUUCUUAACACAACACAUCAUCAUGACAUGUUUCUAUUAAGCAGGAAGCACUGAUUUGGGAAAAACAAACUGAAAAACUCCUGCAGUUCUUCAUUUCAGCUUGAAUGUGCAUGUUGGAGGCUGGAUCUCCAUCAUUUCAGAGUUAAGUUUAUAUUUUUUGUCCGAACAGUUUAAACGUGUUCUUCCUUUCGUGGAACAAUGCACAAGGACUAAUCCUAGCCCAUCUCCCAGCCCUGCUGCACUCCUGUCCACAAACCCUACAAGGUGUCUCCAAGUCCCUCUUGGUGCUCUCAUCGAUGGCAGAGGGCUGAGGGAAGAGCCAGUAGGAAAUAAAGUGUUGGUGAGAGAGGUCUUUGUCACGUAGAGGCAGUUAAGGGGCUAGCAUCCUUUGAGCAGUUGGUUAUUUUUCACUGCUGUCUUGGCCUUUUGCUCCUGGGUUUUCAAGGAGAUUUUGGUGUCAUUUUAUGGGAAUGAAGCUAUUGAUACAAUGGGCAUGAAGAACUGCUACAUUGACUUACUGUCUGAAGUAGGUUUUUUUUUUUUUUUUUUGUUUUUUUUUCCCAACAGCUUCUCAGGAGUCUGCUUUGCCAUUACCUCCUUGAGAGUGGACGUUUUUACAUGAAUGGUCAUCCUGGAAGGCCAAAUUUGGUUUGGUUUAGCCUUGUGCUUUUGAUAGUUCAGUCUGUGUAACUUCUAUACUUAGAAGUCAUCCUUUUUGGGGAUUAUCUGAUCAACUAAUCAACUUUUGUGUGCUCGUUUUAUCUCUGUUGUAAGCUUCCUUAAAAAUUCUUUUUUUGUUAUUUUUUGUUUGUUUGUUUUCUUGUAGAUUGUUGAGUAAGUCUGCAGUUGGACCAGAUGACCUUUAAGGGUCCCUUCCAACUAUUUUUGAUUGUUUGGAUGUAAAAGCUCUGUCCCUCUGCAUUAAUUGGAAAUUUCGCCCUGGAUGGAGGAUGCAUCCUUGCCAUGCAGUGAUGAUGGGCUGCCAGAGCUUGGGGAGCUACGUGUCAUUUCAGCCUCAGUAAUCAACCUUGAGCACAGCUGGGAUGGGUGGAGGAGGCUUAUUAAUGUAAUCUUUAUGGCGCACCUGAUUGCUCACUUGAUGGAAGAUUAUCAUUAAGCCGUAUUAGCUACAUUGCUACCUCUCAAACCUGUAACCUGAAUCUUGUCUCUGAUGUUUGUCGGCUUCUGGUCAGUCCUGGGGCAGUGCAGGGAUGUCUGAAGAGCUACAGUUGCCCUCUGUGAAGUGGGAGCUAUAGAAGGCAAGAGUCGUAGAGAAGAGGAUAACCCAUUGCAGGAAUAUGCCCAACUCAGCUUCCCCAUCCUAAUUUGCACAGCAUGUCCUGCAGGAAGCAGCAGUAGGAGAGGGAAAACAGUUGUUUACUGCAACAGUAACUGAUUAUCAGCCUCUUUGAACAACCCAAAUGCCCGCAGCAUAUGCUGACGUGUUGGGGUGGAAGUCAGUAAAGAAGGAACAUCGCCCUGGAAAAACAAAUGCAGCGAUCGCUUUCUGAUGUGGUGAAGAACCAUGGGGCAUUGCAUGGCCUUAGUUGAUGUGGGCCUGUGUGUGUGUGGGGGGGAGCUCUGAAUUUUUUCUUGGCUCUGUCUGGAUAUUAUGCUGAAAACGCUUCUCUGCAGAGUUGGCACUGGACUUUCUUAGGGCACAGUUGCUCCUGAAAGUCCCCAGCAAGGAGUUCAACCACCUUCGACAGGAUGUGCCAGAGCAACUCCUCAGAGCAAGAUGGGUGAACUGUGCAGACGCAAUUCCAGUGUUAUUUAAUAGAAGGCCAAGCAGGACAAAUCUUGUCUGCUUUCCUUCAUGUUGCAUAGUAGGGGCCACACAAUUCAAUUUUCCUUCAGUUGCUUUACAACAUCAGGUUAACCCAUAUCUAAUGAAACAGAAACUGUUUUUUCUCUCUAAAGCCUCAUACAUUGGUUAGUUGGGAGGUGGGAGAACAAAGUGUAAGGCCUUUGUGGGUGUAUAAACUACUAAAAGUCUGUGUGGGUUGCUGAUUCUCAAUCCAAACAUGUCCUAGUGAGGCAUCGCACAGGGGGAACAGCACAGCGUGAAGGAGAGGUGUGCAGGACAACGAUCAUCUCGGUGCUAUUCAUCAGUCUUGUGUUUGUGAGCCAGUGAGAUUACAGUCAACGCUACACAACUCCAAGCCUACUUAGUGCACCAGCACCCUCAAACACAUCACUUCCAGACAGGAAACUUGAAGAUAACAGGAAGGACUUUACUCUGUCCUGUGAUAAGUCCUGGAGCGCUCUGGUAACAUGGAGAAUAGAGGGGCUUACUGAGACCAUCCAGAACAAAGGAUGUUUUUGAGCAAAUCCAGCCUCAGGAUUAUUCUCCUUCCAAUAAACCCUAAUACAGGAUUUAACCAAAACAUCACCUGAUGUGAAAUAGCACCCUACAAGUGCCUCAUGUUUUCCCAUCAUUAUGGUUUUCUUAUACCCUUACUCUCUAUAUUUCAUUCCUUGUAAUGCAUUCAGCUCUUCUUGGUAGCUUAGUAUCUGUCUUGUAUGUUGUUAAUAUUCCCAAUAAAGCAUAUCAUAUAGACCUGGAACACAA